AAAAAUACAAACCGUGGGUUCCCGUGCCAACGUUUGACUGUCCGUCUUAUGUGAAAUUUUUUUAUAGUUAGUACUUUCAUUGUUGUUAGAUGAUAAAACAUGAUUAAUACUUUAUGCGUGACUUAUCUUUUUAAUUUUUUCAAAUAAGACGGACGGUUAAACGUUGGACACGAAAACCAGGGUUUGUCUUUUU
rnacentral:pre_miRNA from 1 species